GCCUGGCCGGCCUGGCGGCGGCGGGGGCAUCCGUCCUUCCGCGGCGGGCCGGACGUGCAGUUCGAGCACUUCUCCCUGGCAC
rnacentral:tRNA from 1 species